AGUGAACGCUGGCGGUAGGCCUAACACAUGCAAGUCGAACGGCAGCACAGGAGAGCUUGCUCUCUGGGUGGCGAGUGGCGGACGGGUGAGGAAUACAUCGGAAUCUACUCUGUCGUGGGGGAUAACGUAGGGAAACUUACGCUAAUACCGCAUACGACCUACGGGUGAAAGCAGGGGACCUUCGGGCCUUGCGCGAUUGAAUGAGCCGAUGUCGGAUUAGCUAGUUGGCGGGGUAAAGGCCCACCAAGGCGACGAUCCGUAGCUGGUCUGAGAGGUGGAGCAGCCACACUGGAACUGAGACACGGUCCAGACUCCUACGGGAGGCAGCAGUGGGGAAGAUUGGACAAUGGGCGCAAGCCUGAUCCAGCCAUACCGCGUGGGUGAAGAAGGCCUUCGGGUUGUAAGGCCCUUUUGUUGGGAAAGAAAUCCAGCCGGCUAAUACCCGGUUGGGAUGACGGUACCCAAAGAAUAAGCACCGGCUAACUUCGUGCCAGCAGCCGCCGUAA
rnacentral:rRNA from 1 species